rnacentral:lncRNA from 1 species
GAAGUUGGAUAAUUAACUAGCUAAAAAUAAGGGUUUAUACUUAAUGCCCAUGGAAGAUGACUGGAAAGGAACUUGGCAAAAUGAAAACAGUUGCAUUUGGUGGUAAGAUUGUGGCUUAUUUUAUUCUUUUCCUUGUUAUUAAAAUAUUGAUUGUACAAUACAUUAAAACUGAAAAUAGAAAGGACAUGUUUGUAUGUAUGUUAACCUUUUUUUUUUUUUUUUCAUUUCAUAAAGGAAGUGAUAGUGCAUUUCCUUCACAAUACCAAUACCUUAUUAGGGUCCAUUGGGAUUGACUAAUGUUAUUUUCCUUCCUUUUUCUGCCUUAUGUGAACAAGCCACUGUGACACUAGUUUCUGGUAUUUGGGUUACAAAGGUCUAUAUUGCCAAACAACUCUGUUUUAAAUAUUAUCUUUGCUUCAUAUUCAUACCUGAUAGUCUUCUCUGAGGGUACCAAUCAAAGGUCAAGACCUUUUUCACAACAUCACUGAUCUUCCUUGAAAAUCCAUGGAGAGUGGAUAGAUCAGAUAGUGGAGUGGUAACUGAAGAAAUAAAGAGGAAGUUGCUCAGGACAGAAGAUAAAAACAUGAGACAAAGGAAACAAACUGCUCUUGGAUAGGGUGCUUCUGAGGCUGGGAUUCUUCCCAGGGAAGACCACGCUGCGGAUCUACUGCUGCAUAAGGAGCCAUGCCAAAAGAGCUCCACUCAGAAGACACCUGGAAUGGGGCUCAUCCCAGACUCAGCCAGGAGGGACAGACCUUAACCUUGGCUGGGACCCAGAAGGCAGAGGAUAGAAAAGAAAAAGGAAGUAAAGAGGAAAUAGAGAAAGCAAACUCUAUGUGGACUGAAAUACAACCUGCUGGGAAGACUGGAAAACGGUUUAGAGUCCUCUGGAUGCCAGAUGUGUUCGUGACCCAGCUACAAGGAAACUGGAUUCUUUCUGGUCACGUUGGAUAUCUGCAUGCGCUUCUAAGUGUUGUAUUGCAUAAAGGUAAUACUUUAUCUCAUCCAGCUGUCAAAAUAACCCUUUCAGCUAAAUAUUAUAUUCCCUUUUAUACAGAUAAGUAGG